rnacentral:ribozyme from 2 species
CACCUAAUGCAGCUGCCGCAAGGCAACGGUCGCAAGCCCGGAGAGAUGCAGAGCGGGGA